GACGAACGCUGGCGGCGUGCUUAACACAUGCAAGUCGAACGGAAAGGCCCUGCUUUUGUGGGGUGCUCGAGUGGCGAACGGGUGAGUAACACGUGAGUAACCUGCCCUUGACUUUGGGAUAACUUCAGGAAACUGGGGCUAAUACCGGAUAGGAGCUCCUGCUGCAUGGUGGGGGUUGGAAAGUUUCGGCGGUUGGGGAUGGACUCGCGGCUUAUCAGCUUGUUGGCGGGGUAGUGGCUUACCAAGGCUUUGACGGGUAGCCGGCCUGAGAGGGUGACCGGCCACAUUGGGACUGAGAGACGGAGCAGACUCCUACGGGAGGCAGCAGUGGGGAAUAUGGCACAAUGGGCGGAAGCCUGAUGCAGCAACGCCGCGUGCGGGAUGACGGCCUUCGGGUUGUAAACCGCUUUCGCCUGUGACGAAGCGUGAGUGACGGUAAUGGGUAAAGAAGCACCGGCUAACUACGUG
rnacentral:rRNA from 1 species